UACAGAGGAUGCAAGCGUUAUCCGGAAUUACUGGGCGUAAAGCGUGCGCAGGCGGUUCGUUGUGUCGGCGGUGAAAUCCCCGGGCUCAACCUGGGAAUGGCCGUUGAAACUGGCGAACUGGAGUGUGGCAGAGGGGGGUGGAAUUCCGCGUGUAGCAGUGAAAUGCGUAGAGAUGCGGAGGAACACCGAUGGCGAAGGCAGCCCCCUGGGCUGACACUGACGCUCAGGCACGAAAGCGUGGGGAGCGAACAGG
rnacentral:rRNA from 1 species